rnacentral:rRNA from 1 species
GACGAACGCUGGCGGCGUGCUUAACACAUGCAAGUCGAACGGAAAGGCCCUGCUUUUGUGGGGUGCUCGAGUGGCGAACGGGUGAGUAACACGUGAGUAACCUGCCCUUGACUUUGGGAUAACUUCAGGAAACUGGGGCUAAUACCGGAUAGGAGCUCCUGCUGCAUGGUGGGGGUUGGAAAGUUUCGGCGGUUGGGGAUGGACUCGCGGCUUAUCAGCUUGUUGGUGGGGUAGUGGCUUACCAAGGCUUUGACGGGUAGCCGGCCUGAGAGGGUGACCGGCCACAUUGGGACUGAGGUACGGCCCAAACUCAUACGGGAGACGCGGGGGGGGGAUAUUACACAAGGGACGGAAGCCUGAAACAGCAACACCGCGUACGGGAUGACGGCCUUCGGGUUGUAAACCGCUUUCGCCUGUGACGGGGCGUGAGUGACGGUAAUGGGUAAAGAAGCACCGGCUAACUACGUG